rnacentral:rRNA from 1 species
UCUGCUUGCAGAGUGUGGAUGAGUGGCGAACGGGUGAGUAACACGUGGGGAACCUACCCAUGAGAGGGGGAUAACAUCCGGAAACGGGUGCUAAUACCGCAUAGGUGUCAGAAACGCAUGUUUCAGACAUUAAAGAUGGCUUCGGCUAUCGCUCAUGGAUGGCCCCGCGGCGUAUUAGCUAGUUGGUGAGGUAAUGGCUCACCAAGGCAGUGAUACGUAGCCGACCUGAGAGGGUGAUCGGCCACACUGGGACUGAGACACGGCCCAGACUCCUACGGGAGGCAGCAGUAGGGAAUCUUCCACAAUGGGCGAAAGCCUGAUGGAGCAAUGCCGCGUGAAUGAAGAAGGUCUUCGGAUCGUAAAGUUCUGUUAUCGGAGAAGAACAAGGGGUGUAGUAACUGGCAUCCCCCUGACGGUAUCCGACCAGAAAGUCACGGCUAACUACGUGCCAGCAGCCGCGG